GAGGGCACGUGGCGGGUGGGACGGUUGGGCAGGAUUAGCAGCUCCGGGGUCAGGUGUGAGGUCCGCCCCAGUCUCAGGAGCCGCUGGGCCCGGCUGCAGAGGCUGGCCGCCUUCCAGGAUCCCAGGCGCCUACGUCCUCCGACGCGGUUUAAUAUACAACAGCAAGGAACACCCCGGAGGCUGCCAGCACGUGUGACUUCGUGUUUCUGUGCUACAUGAGACUAGUGUCCUCAUCUUCCAUCAUGACAACCCUUCUCUCUCCCCCAACCCCCUCCCCCCCCCAACAGUGCCAACGGGCUCUGGGCAAAGCUGCCCCGUUUUCUUUUAACCUAAGGGAUGCCAUGGUUUGGCUGACUACGUUUGACUGCCACCACUGAAGGCAGCUGAUGUCUCAAGUGGCUGGAUACUGUGGCGAUGGAAAUCAGACGAGUUUGUCAAGCCACUGAUUGACCUGCUAUCUUUUGUACUGUUUCCUCUGGCUGGAAGGCCCAGCUCUCAAAGUCCGCCUGAGGAUCACCUACUCAUCCCAGUAUGGCCCAAACUGGAUCCCCUCUGUCUCCACUCAGUGGCCUAACCUGGAACAUAUAGAAGAAAGUAGUGGAAUGGUUUUUCCAGACUCACUUCAGUUACUUCAAGUCCUCGGUCUUUAAUAAGGUUUUGGGAGAGAAAAAAAGCUAUUGCUGUAUGAAUUCAAUAAAUAUUUAAAAAAUUU